rnacentral:ncRNA from 1 species
UACCUGGUUGAUCCUGCCAGUAGUCAUAUGCUUGUCUCAAAGAUUAAGCCAUGCAAGUCUAAGUACGAGCUCUCGUACAGUGAAACUGCGAAUGGCUCAUUAAAUCAGUUAUGGUUCAUUUGAUCGUACAGUUUACUUGGAUAACUGUGGUAAUUCUAGAGCUAAUACAUGCGAGAAGCGCCGACCUCGCGGGAGGCGUGCAUUUAUCAGACCAAAAACCGGCCGCGUCUUCGGGCGCGUUCGCCUUGGUGACUCUGGAUAACUUUGCGGAUCGCACGGUCUAGCACCGGCGACGGAUCAUUCAAGUGUCUGCCCUAUCAACUUUCGUCGGUACGGUAUUUGCCUACCGAGGUUCUUACGGGUGACGGGGAAUCAGGGUUCGAUUCCGGAGAGGGAGCCUGAGAAACGGCUACCACAUCCAAGGAAGGCAGCAGGCGCGCAAAUUACCCAUUCCCGACGCGGGGAGGUAGUGACGAAAAAUAACAAUGCAGGACUAGUUCGAGGCCCUGUAAUUGGAAUGAGGAACACUUAAAA